CAUUAGCCUAUUAAUUGUAGGCUGGCAUCAACGGUUAGACGACAGAAAAUCUGUCUUUUUCUUUAUCUCUUUAAUUUGACAUUUAAGUGAAGAGGCUUAAAUUGGAUAGCGGGACGAGAAGACCCUAUUGAGCUUUAGGACUCUUUAUCUUUAUAUUUAAGAUAAAGUCUUUGGGUUGGGGCAACCAUUUCUAUAAUUUAACAGAAAUAAGAAUAAAGUUGAAUCAAAUCUUUUUAGACCCGGAAAUAUUCCGGAAAUUGGAAAAAGUUACCUUAGGGAUAACAGCGUAAUU
rnacentral:rRNA from 1 species